rnacentral:snoRNA from 1 species
AUUCACUGAUGAGUAGCUUCUGGUUUUCGUUCUUCUGAGUUUGCUGAAGCCAGAUGCCAUUCCUGAAAAGG